rnacentral:rRNA from 1 species
AGAGUUUGAUCAUGGCUCAGGACGAACGCUGGCGGCGCGCUUAACACAUGCAAGUCGAGCGAGAACCUGGCCUUCGGGCCUGGGGAAAGCGGCGAACGGGUGAGUAACACGUGGGUAACCCACCCUUGGUACCGGGAUAGCCCGAGGAAACUCGGAUUAAUACCGGAUGGCCCAACAGCUCUUCGGGGCGGUUGGAAAAGGUAGCUUCGGCCUCCGACCAAGGACGGGCCCGCGGCGGAUUAGCUUGUUGGUGAGGUAAUGGCUCACCAAGGCGACGAUCCGUAGCUGGUCUGAGAGGACGAUCAGCCACACUGGGACUGAGACACGGCCCAGACUCCUACGGGAGGCAGCAGUGGGGAAUCUUGCGCAAUGGGCGAAAGCCUGACGCAGCGACGCCGCGUGGGGGAAGAAGGCUUUCGGGUUGUAAACCCCUUUCAGGAAGGACGAAGCCACUCGGGUGAAUAGCCCAGAGGGUGACGGUACUUCCAGAAGAAGCCCCGGCUAACUACGUGCCAGCCGCCGCGGUAAUACA